GGGAACGACGACUGGAAUGUUUUAAGUUUCUACUUGUGCCUGACAUAGUAGGCAGAUACAUAUGGGGUAACUGUUUCCCAGGAAACGACAGCAGGGCUCUGAAAGAAAAAGGGAGCCGUCAAAGUAAAUAAUGCUGGUGGUGAAAAUCCCCUGCAAUGUUUGUUAAAGGUGAGACUGACUUUGCUCCAAAAUAAGAAAGAACUGCUACUCACAGAGGGAAACUAGCAUGGAUUUUACUUUCUGGAACCAUGAUAUGCCUGAAGCAGCAACACAGUGGCAAUUCCAGAGGGGUAGGAGCUCUGCUACCAUGCAAUGACACUGUAAUUACAAAAUAAGGGAAAAUUAGAAGUAGUACAAGUGUGCAGAACUAGCUCUGGUUGUGAGUUGUCAAAGAAAGCAAUGUAGCUGAUCUCAAAGGAACAUGGAAAGGCAAUGACACAAAGACAACUUUGUAGCAGACUGCUGCACCUGUUGCUUGCUUGCCACCUUAGAAGUCAGAGACCUCACACUGGGACCAAUUAAAACAGAACAAGUUAAUAACUUACAGACAUACUUACGGUUGCUAAACUGAUGCACGAAGGAGUACAUUACUGAAGGUGAAUGUUUUCUUGGGGAUCUUAAAAGCAUCAGAGUAUCGUAAAGGUGGGUGUACCUGCAUAAAUUGUACUUUGCAAAAUGGUCUGUUACUUAUAUAAAUUGUUUCGGCCCUCAGUAUGUAUAAUUUCUGGCUUAACAUAAAUUAUUUUGGUAUUUUAAAUUCUUCCAGAAUUACACAUCAUGCUGGAAAGUGAACUAUAGCUAACUACUGAGAAAUGUUUACUGAGCAAUAUAUAUGGCCAGUACAAUCUCUGCUCACCUGUACAACACUGAUUUCUGAGCGUUAUGAAGUUAUGAGAUUACUGAAUUGAUUAUAAUGAUGACAUGGAAACAAAACUAUCAUUAAUCAAGGGUGUCAGUGUCUCAUUAGAAAAAAAACCACAAAAUUGCAUAAAUGCCUCAAAAAUAGCUUUUUUUUUUUUUUUUUUUUUGUAUCUACACCUGGUUAGCUAUUUUUACAUAGCUGUUCCCUGUAAAAUAGCUAUCUGAUUACUGAGCAUUUACUCACCUCCUACAGUCCCGCAGCAAAUGCUUUAUUCUUGGAUCAUAGUUUUGACUUGUCUGGUUGAAUAUACUUGUAGGUGCUGCUUAUACCCUCC
ensembl:lncRNA